GCUUCCGUGGCUCAGUUGGUUAGAGCGCAGGUCUCAUACCGCGAGUAUGAUAGGGAAUACCCUGCAAUCCUGAGGUCAUGAGUUCGAUCCUCAUCGGGAGCA
rfam:Fomitopsis pinicola FP-58527 SS1 unplaced genomic scaffold FOMPIscaffold_38, whole genome shotgun sequence.